rnacentral:rRNA from 1 species
GAUUAACGCUGGCGGCGUGCAUAACACAUGCAAGUCGAACGAUGAAACUCAUUAGAUUUCUUCGGAAUGAAAAUGAAUGGAUUAGUGGCGAACGGGUGAGUAACGCGUGAGUAACCUGCCUUACACAAGGGGAUAGCCUCUGGACACGGAGAAUAAUACCCUAUGAAACCAGACAAUCGCAUGAUAAUCUGGUCAAAAUGUUUAGUGGUGUAAGAUGGACUUGCGUCUGAUUAGCUAGUUGGUGGGAUAAACGCUCACCAAGGCAACGAUCAGUAGCCGGCUUGAGAGCGCGUACGGCCACAUUGGGACUGGGACACGGCCCAGACUCCUCCGGGAGGCAGCAGUGGGGAAUGUUGCACAAUGGGGGAAACCCUGAUGCAGCGACGCCGCGUGAUUCAGAAGGCCUUCGGGUUGUAAAAAGCUUCUGUAUAGGAAGAAAAUGACAGUACUAUACGAAUAAGGUCCGGCUAAUUACGUG